GGCACAGUGGCGCAGUUGUUAGCACUACUGCCUCACAGGAAGAAGGUCUUGAGUUCUAAUCCGGCCUGUGACA